rnacentral:lncRNA from 1 species
GAAGUGUUGUUAUUACAGGCGUGAGCCACCGCGCCCGGCCCCAUAAAUUUUUAAUAGGAGAAAAGGGAAACUGUGAACCCUGACAGAUAUAAUAGAUUCCUCUUCAAGGGCCUAACUUUCUUGUUCCUUGUUCUUAGGACCAACUUUUUUGUACCUCUUUGUACCUAGACACCCGCUCCGUAAACAACCCAAACCGCCUGUUCCAAUCUGCGACCCGAACCCCUUCCUUAUUUGGAAAGUAGCCAAUCGGGUCAGCCUAGAUUGUGAGGUCAGACCCCGGCCAAUGGGGGAAGGACACAGAGGCAAUAACGGCGUUUAGGGUUAAAAACCCCUUUCAAACUGGGAGGCCGAGGCGGGCGGAUCAACUGAGUUCGGGAGUUCAAAACCAGCCUGACCAACAUGUUGCGGAAGGCCCUCGUGACUGGACCUCCUGCCAAACAACUCGUUACAAAAAACUGAGGGUACCAGACUGCGCCAAAGCUUCAUGAGACCUGUCCUCAUCUGUGCAGAAAUGAGUGGCCGACUCUGGAACCCAGGCUGUUGCUUACCACCUUGGUGGUGAAACCUCCAUACUCUAGUCCUGAAGGGGCGAGGCCUUAAGCAUUAUCCAAUCAGGGACACUGGGCUGGAAACCGUCCAAUCAGACACCCAGCUGGAGCGAACAGGUCGACUUCCGAGUUUGGCGGGGCCUUUGUCUCUCACUGCACCUGGAGCUCCAGGUCUCAUCUUCACUACUCUGUGUCCUCUGCUGCUGGAGGCCCAGCCCUGUGACCUGACGGUUUUGGGAGAUCCACAGCUAAGACGCCAGGACCUCCUGGAAGCCUAGAAAUGACUAUGGAGGAUUCACCACCAGACCAGGAAGCAACAGGCUGGGCUCCAGAGUCGGAUACCGCACUCAUCAGACUAGGAGGAUUCACCACCAGACUGGAAAGCAACAGCCUGGGCUCCAGAGUCAGCCACCCAUCUCUGCACAGACAAGGAGAGGUCUCAUGAAGGUUCCGCGUGAUCUGGGACCCUAGCUCUUUUUGUAAUGAGUUCUUUGGCAUGAGGCCCAGUCAUGAGGGCCCUUCGCGAUUGGGCUCAAAGAACACAAAAAGGUCAACUUUUUUUGUGUGUGUGUGAUUGUCUAUUGUUUUUCAAUAACCAAUGUAUUGGAAUAGAUUGAAAUAGAGAUUUCUCCAAAACAGCGCAGGAUGAACACCUCAAGGGGUUCACAUAACCUGUUCCAAGACUUGGUGACCAUUGUUUGUGUCCACGUUCAAUAAGUUCAAAUUUAAUAUUUAAGUUUUCCUCCACAAAUUCCCCUGUCUUGA